AUGCCUUAGUAACGGCGAGUGAAGCGGCAACAGCUCAAAUUUGAAAUCUGGCUUCGGCCCGAGUUGUAAUUUGCAGAGGAUGUUUAUGGUGCGGUACCUUCCGAGUUCCCUGGAACGGGACGCCACAGAGGGUGAGAGCCCCGUCUGGUUGGAUACUAAACCUGUGUUAAACUCCUUCAACGAGUCGAGUAGUUUGGGAAUGCUGCUCUAAAUGGGAGGUAUAUCUCUUCUAAAGCUAAAUAUUGGCCAGAGACCGAUAGCGCACAAGUAGAGUGAUCGAAAGAUGAAAAAGCACCUUGAAAAAGGGGGUUAAACAGUACGUGAAAUUGUUGAAAGGGAAGCGUUUAUGACCAGACUUGUGCCGUGUGGCUCAUCCGAGGUUUUCCCCGGUGCACUCCACACGGUUCAGGCCAACAUCGGUUUUCGCCGGGGGAUAAGAACAGUAGGAACGUAGCUCCCCUCGGGGAGUGUUAUAGCCUAUUGUACGAUACCCUGGCGGGGACCGAGGACCGCGCUUCGGCUAGGAUGUUGGCGUAAUGGUCAUUAGCGACCCGUCUUGAAACACGGACCAAGGAGUCGUCCAUUAGAGCGAGCGUUUGGGUGUAAAACCCGCACGCGUAAUGAAAGUGAAAUUAGGUGAGAGCUUCGGCGCAUCAUCGACCGAUCCUGAAGUUUACGGACGGAUUUGAGUAAGAGUUUUAACGGACGGACCCGAAAGACAGUGAACUAUGCUUGAAUAGGGUGAAGCCAGAGGAAACUCUGGUGGAGGCUCGCAGCGGUUCUGACGUGCAAAUCGAUCGUCAAAUUUUGAGCAUGGGGGCGAAAGACUAAUCGAACUGUUAGAAGCUACUAGGCAGUUAAGAGUCGCCUAGUAAUAGGAGGCUAGUGAGUUUUCGGACUUGCGACAUCGUCAAAUUGCGGGGGACACCUUGUUAUAACGUUUAUGCUACCCGCGGCUCAUCGAAAGACUGAGUGCAGCACCAGGUGUAAUGGCCUGGGUAUGGUAAAAGUGUUAUAACAAGAGGCAAUCCGCAGCCAAGCCCUACCACCCUUCAGGGGGUCAUGGGGUUGCAGUUUCACAGACUAGACGGCGAUGGGCUCAGGAGCACCUGGGCUUAAGAUAUAGUCGAGACCUUUUAGUGAUGGAAGGAAUCCUAGUGA
rnacentral:rRNA from 1 species